AAGACCAUCUCUUAGAACCAACGAUCUGAGUGUGCUCAAUUCAUCCUAAAGUCUUAAAACUGCAGAACCACAGAUGAGAGAAAUCCUGGAAUUUCUUCCCUGAGCAUUUUGUCAGGUUGUCCCCCAUAUCUGGAAGGUUCUCCUAUAUUCUCUUAACCUUGGGGCUUUAGGGCUUCCCUUGAGUCACAGCUAUUGUCACUCCUUCCCCAAGAAACCUUUCCCAAUUUCCCUUCAUUGUAGUGCUUUCCCACUGUUGAUAAUCUCUCGAAUAAUCCCAUCUACCAUGUAGGUACAGAACUUGCAAAUUGUCUCAUUCCUUUAGACAACAACCUCCUCAAGGGCACUGAUUGCUUUCUGCUUUUCUUGGUAUGCCCCAUGCUUUGCACAAAAUCAGUUACAGCAAUGUUUAUUGACUGACUCUCUGUGAGGGAUAUAGGGUAAAAGGGACAACACCCCUCCCCCCAUAUCAUCUUCAUCUAUUUGCUGGGUGAGCCGGGUGGGAAGGAAGAAGUUACAGUCCAUUUGGAAUUCAGGCUCAGGAGCUACCAAGGAAAUCUUCUGGCUGUAUUUCUCUCCUUCCAGGUGAGGACAUCGCCAUGUAUGAAAACAUUGUUCACUUUAGAGGCUCAACUCUGCCUAAACAGGGCUCCGACUCCUCCUCUACUUUUCCUGAAGACCCACCUGAGAGUUCUUACCAGACAUUGGACAUCACCAGAGUGGAUGUUUAUGACAAGAUUGACCCCUUGAAGAAACCUGAAGCCUAGGAAAAAACCUAGGGAUGUUGGGACACCCUUCCAUCACCAUUCAUGAAGAAGGGUUCAGAGGCAUCUCUCAGGAAAAAAAGCAGACACAUUGAAGUCCAUGAGAAAGACAGAAAGGCUGGACUUGUGGAAAGGGGAGGUUUCUAGGGAGGCAGGGGCCCUCGGAUAUCCCAAAAAGGAUCAA